rnacentral:misc_RNA from 1 species
GUCGGAUCUCCGGCUCAGUCGUGCCCAAACUCACGGCUCUGGUCGGGAACUUGGCAGGCGGAGUGCCGGAGAAGCUGUAAGGGCGACGAAGGAAGAAAUUGGAAGAGCGGAAACCGCCGGAGCUGGAGAAAAAAGAGGUGGAGAAGAGAGUUUGUUGAGGUGAAGAUGAAAUCGUACGAAUCAUUUUCUCUCUCUCCUCUCUCUCCCU